CUAAGUACCCUAGGAUAUUAGCCCUCUUUUGAGAGGUGAAAAAUUGAGUUUUGGUGAAUGAAAACAUCCAUGGAGCUAUUAUGAGUUUUCAUGGUGUUCUUCAAAUGUUCUUGAAGUUCUUGCCAAGAACAAAAAAGGUUUGAAGUUUUGAUUCAAAAGUUUUAUGUUUUUCAUAAAGUUUUGGUAUAUAAUUGAUUUAUUAUUUGAUGGGUGAUGUUAUUGGUGAGAUGUGAUGAAAUGGUUUUAAUGUUUGUCAUAAACUUUAAGUUUUUCUUACAAACCAUCACCUUCACCUUUAACCUCACCUAAUAAAAUCAACUUGCAAAAACUUUUUAGAAAUUUUUCAAUUUUUCAUUAAAUGGCCGGCCACCCCUAGUGGGGGUCCUUUUGGGGCCUUUUGUGCAAUUAACAUAAAGUUUUGAUACUUUUGUGUUUUUGCAUUUUGGCCCAAAAGUUUACGUUUUUACGUUUAGGCUUAAAAACUCUAAAGGACAAAUUGUUUUGAUC
rnacentral:lncRNA from 1 species